GUAGUCAGGCAGACAGUAGUCAGGUAGACAGUAGUCAGGCAGACAGUAGUCAGGCAGAUAGUAGUCAGGCAGACAGUAGUCAGGCAGACAGUAGUCAGGCAGACAGUAGUCAGGCAGACAGUAGUCAGGCAGACAGUAGUCAGGCAGAUAGGGAGGUGAGAGAAAAAUAGUUUGUCUGCCAUUGGUGUUGCUUGUCGCCGUGUCAGUGAGAAGAAACCACAGAUCAAAUAUCAGGAAGACAUCAUGAAGGUGGACGACAAGUUUCAAAUUCUGAAAUUCUUCGCAGCAGUUUUCAACUCUGUUUUCUUGAUUCUGGGGCUCUGUAUCUUUGGAUGUGCGGUAUGGAUAUUGUUUGACAAGGACAAUUUCAUUGCCAUUCUCAGCUCUGUUGAGGUGAAGACUGUAGCUGGGGGACUGUUCAUCAUUGGUCUAGUGGUGGUUGGUGUCACUAUCCUGGGGUGUAUGGGAGCCCAACUGGAGAACAGGUGCUUCCUACUACUG